GACGAACGCUGGCGGCGUGCUUAACACAUGCAAGUCGUACGGUAAGGCCCUUUCGGGGGUACACGAGUGGCGAACGGGUGAGUAACACGUGAGUAACCUGCCCACAACUUUGGGGUAACGCUAGGAAACUGGUGCUAAUACUGGAUAUGUGCCCCUGCUGCAUGGUGGGGGUUGGAAAGCUCCGGCGGUUGUGGAUGGACUCGCGGCCUAUCAGCUUGUUGGUGGGGUAGUGGCCUACCAAGGCGGCGACGGGUAGCCGGCCUGCGAGGGUGACCGGCCACAUUGGGACUGAGAUACGGCCCAGACUCCGACGGGAGGCAGCAGUGGGGAAUAUUGCACAAUGGGCGCAAGCCGGAUGCAGCAACGCCGCGUGCGGGAUGACGGCCUUCGGGUUGUAAACCGCUUUCAGCAGGGACGAAGCUUUUUGUGACGGUACCUGCAGAAGAAGCACCGGCUAACUACG
rnacentral:rRNA from 1 species